rnacentral:rRNA from 1 species
CGAGCGAGACCACGUCCACAGUUGCCAGCAUACCCUCCGGGGUGGAUGGGUACACUGUGGAGACCGCCGCUGCUAAAGCGGAGGAAGGAGUGGGCAACGGUAGGUCAGUAUGCCCCGAAUCUCCCGGGCUACACGCGGGCUACAAUGGUUGGUACAAUGGGCAUCUACCCCGAAAGGGGAAGGAAAUCUCUUAAAGCCAAUCGUAGUUCGGAUUGAGGGCUGCAACUCGCCCUCAUGAAGCUGGAAUCCGUAGUAAUCGCGUUUCAACAGAACGCGGUGAAUACGUCCCUGCUCCUU